ACACCGUUGGUGAAGUGGUUAUCAUGCUUGCCUUCCAUAUUGAUUAUAUGAGCAAGCGGCUCGGGUUCGAUUCCCGAACGGUGUA